UCCCGAUGGUGGAACACGCUCACCUUUUGGUAACAUUUGAAAAUUCGAAUGUCUUCGAUGUGGUAGUCGAGGUGGAGAAGUAAUCGAUUUUGGGUUGAGUUCUGAUGUCGGAACAUGCACACCUUUUCGCAACAUUUCAAAAUUCAAAUUUGUGUAAUGUGCCCGAGGAGGUGGUGGUGAAUGUGGAGGAACAUUUGGUUUUUUGUUAGGUAGUGACGGGAGAGUAGAGACAUCUUUUGAUAACAUUUUAAAGCCAUGAUCACCCAAAACAAGAGAAGAAAACAAGUAAAACAAAGUACAAACCCAAUAAACCUUUGAAAAUUCCAU
rnacentral:lncRNA from 1 species